AUACGAAGGUGGCAAGCGUUGUUCGGAUUUACUGGGCGUAAAGAGCAUGUAGGCGGUUAGAUUAGUCAGUUGUGAAAUCCUAUGGCUUAACCAUAGAAUUGCAUCUGAUACUGUCUAGCUAGAGUGCAGGAGAGGAGAGUGGAAUUUCCAGUGUAGCGGUGAAAUGCGUAGAUAUUGGAAGGAACACCGGUGGCGAAGGCGGCUCUCUGGUCUGUAACUGACGCUGAGAUGCGAAAGCGUGGGUAGCAAACAGAAUUAGAAACCCCUGUAGUCC
rnacentral:rRNA from 1 species